UGCAAGUCGAGCGGGACAGAUGGGAGCUUGCUCCCUGAUGUUAGCGGCGGACGGGUGAGUAACACGUGGGUAACCUGCCUGUAAGACUGGGAUAACUCCGGGAAACCGGGGCUAAUACCGGAUGGUUGUUUGAACCGCAUGGUUCAAACAUAAAAGGUGGCUUCGGCUACCACUUACAGAUGGACCCGCGGCGCAUUAGCUAGUUGGUGAGGUAAUGGCUCACCAAGGCAACGAUGCGUAGCCGACCUGAGAGGGUGAUCGGCCACACUGGGACUGAGACACGGCCCAGACUCCUACGGGAGGCAGCAGUAGGGAAUCUUCCGCAAUGGACGAAAGUCUGACGGAGCAACGCCGCGUGAGUGAUGAAGGUUUUCGGAUCGUAAAGCUCUGUUGUUAGGGAAGAACAAGUACCGUUCGAAUAGGGCGGUACCUUGACGGUACCUAACCAGAAAGCCACGGCUAACUACGUGCCAGCAGCCGCGGUAAUACGUAGGUGGCAAGCGUUGUCCGGAAUUAUUGGGCGUAAAGGGCUCGCAGGCGGUUUCUUAAGUCUGAUGUGAAAGCCCCCGGCUCAACCGGGGAGGGUCAUUGGAAACUGGGGAACUUGAGUGCAGAAGAGGAGAGUGGAAUUCCACGUGUAGCGGUGAAAUGCGUAGAGAUGUGGAGGAACACCAGUGGCGAAGGCGACUCUCUGGUCUGUAACUGACGCUGAGGAGCGAAAGCGUGGGGAGCGAACAGGAUUAGAUACCCUGGUAGUCCACGCCGUAAACGAUGAGUGCUAAGUGUUAGGGGGUUUCCGCCUCUUAGUGCUGCAGCUAACGCAUUAAGCACUCCGCCUGGG
rnacentral:rRNA from 1 species